rnacentral:rRNA from 1 species
UACGUAGGGUGCAAGCGUUAAUCGGAAUUACUGGGCGUAAAGCGUGCGCAGGCGGUUGUGCAAGACCGAUGUGAAAUCCCCGGGCUUAACCUGGGAAUGGCAUUGGUGACUGCACGGCUAGAGUGUGUCAGAGGGGGGUAGAAUUCCACGUGUAGCAGUGAAAUGCGUAGAGAUGUGGAGGAAUACCGAUGGCGAAGGCAGCCCCCUGGGAUAACACUGACGCUCAUGCACGAA